UUUUGUCCCCUGUGAACCUAUGUGUAACUUUUUUUAAUUGAUGCACGAGGGUUAAAAUCACAAGAAUGUUGUGAAAUAGUAAAUUUCCACAUUCCAGAUAUCCACAACAAUUUUAGGUUUAAGUUCCAAAAAAGAAAGAGAGGCAUUGGGGGUUAUAAUGACAGUUUUCAUUUUUGGGUGGACUAGCCCUUUAAAUAGGCCUAAUUAUUCCUGUAAGAAAUACACUUAUUCCCAAAGGGCUACGUAAACACCCCCACCUGGUUUGGAUUAUUCCAGUAAAUCCAGUGAAAACAAUAAGACAGCUCAAGCAAGCAUUUUAGUACGUGUGGGACUACUGGAAUCUGGAAAUUCCCAGCUGUCGCUCACUUCCUGAAAUCAUGACGUCGCGCGGUCGUCGCGCGCAUUCUCCACCUCGGCUUUACCAGAUAAACAAGGAAGUUCAUCUCUACCCGAAGAAACAAGAGAAAAGUCCCAAAUCAAAGUCCAGAAAACCAAAUGGAUAUCAGCGAGACUCUGCCUUCCGGUGGGAAUAAAGAAACGAGUGAGCCUUUACUUUCCCCCGAUCAGCACGGUGACAAUGAAUAUCCUUCGAAACAGAUGUAUCCCGACAUUCCCACCUAUCCGCCACCGCAGUAUGGAGCUCCAGUGGUUCACUAUAACCAUGGGCCGCCGUUUCCAGGAUACCAGGUGGUCACUAUGCAGCCAACAGUUAAUGUGACUCCUCCGCUGCGUGAACCACUGCCAGAUUACCUGUGCUACUCCGUCUUUACCAUGAUGUGCUGUUGUUUACCUCUGGGCAUUGCUGCCCUGGUUUACUCCAUUACAACUCGAGAUUCAAACCUGUUCGGACAGCGACAAGUUGCAGAGAAAAGCUCCAAAAUGGCACGCAUGCUUAACCAUGUCAGUCUUGGAAUUGGCUUGACAGUAUAUUUGUUGGUUAUCGGCUUUUUUAUUUAUGUUUGGAUCACAUUUGCACGAUUUAGACAUUACUAAACAUGAACACUAAAUACAGUGUUUAAAAUAUAUUUUUACAAGCAUUUGUAAACAAUUGAUAUUCAGCAUAAAAAGUUUUUUUUUUAAGAUGCCAAAGAAUGCAUUGAAAUAAUAUGUUAAAUUGUUCUCUGAUAUCUACAUAGCAGGUAUUUGGCUGGUCACUUUACCUUUAUGUUUGUUGAAAAACAACUAACAUUUCCUGCAAAAUCUGACCUGACAACUCAAAUUUUAAAUCAGUAUUAUAUUCUUACCGGUGUGUAUGGUGGUAAGGAAAGAAUUUUUGAACAGUUUGAAACACUGAUGUACUUAUGUACUUGCUCAGUUAAUGUUUAUUUUUUUAGCCAGUUACAGAUUUAAAUAAUCUGCAAAAAUGAUGUAAAUGAUACGGCUGUACUUAUUGCCGCUGGGGAUUAAUACCUAAUAUUUUUUAUAAAGAUGUUUUGAAUGAAUGCUGUAAUUGUCAAACUAAAUGUAUCAUCAUUUGAAAUGUUUUUUAAUAUAUUUUAACACCAUAUUAUACAUGCUUAGAAUAGGAUGAAAUACACAUUUAUUCUGCAUUAAUUCGAAUCAUAUGCUUGCUGUCAUAUUUUUUAGAAAAGUGCAAAACUAUUGACUAUUUUACAUAUUAAAGUGGAUUUUCUGUUUUCUCUC